UACGAAGGGGCUAGCGUUGUUCGGAAUUACUGGGCGUAAAGCGUGCGCAGGCGGCUUCUCAAGUCAGGGGUGAAAGCCCAGAGCUCAACUCUGGAAUUGCCUUUGAGACUGAGUGGCUUGAGUGCGAGAGAGGUGAGUGGAAUUCCCAGUGUAGGGGUGAAAUUCGUAGAUAUUGGGAAGAACACCGGUGGCGAAGGCGGCUCACUGGCUCGUAACUGACGCUCAUGCACGACAGCGUGGGGAUCAAACAGG
rnacentral:rRNA from 1 species